GGUAGCAUGGCUGAGUGAUCUAAGGCACUGGAUUAAAGUUCCAGUCUCUUUGGGGGUGUAGGUUUUAAUCCCACCACUGUCA
rnacentral:tRNA from 1 species